CGUAGGUGGCAAGCGUUACUCGGAAUUACUAGGCGUAAAGCGCAGGUAGGUGGUUGGAUAAGUCCGUAAUGAAAUCUCCCGGCUUAACUGGGAGGGGCUUGGGGAUACUGUCCGACUCGAGUGUGGGAGAGGUAACUGGAAUUCCUGGUGUAGCGGUGAAAUGCGUAGAUAUCAGGAGGAACACCUAUGGCGAAAGCAGGUUACUGGCCCAAUACUGACGCUGAGCUGCGAAAGCUAGGGGAGCAAACAGGAUUAGAUACCCUGGUAGUCCUAGCCAUAAACGAUGCAGACCAGACGUGGGGGGUAUCGACCCCUCUGCGUCGACCCUAACGGAUUAAGUCUGCCGCCUGGGGAGUACGGCCGCAAGGUUG
rnacentral:rRNA from 1 species